CCCAGACUCCUACGGGAGGCAGCAGUGGGGAAUAUUGCACAAUGGGGGAAACCCUGAUGCAGCGACGCCGCGUGAGUGAAGAAGCGCCUCGGCGCGUAAAGCUCUGUCAGCAGGAACGACGAUGACGGUACCUGAAGAAGAAGCCCCGGCUAACUACGUGCCAGCAGCCGCGGUAAUACGUAGGGUGCGAGCGUUAAUCGGAAUUACUGGGCGUAAAGCGCACGUAGGCUGUAUGACAAGUCAAGGGUGAAAUGCCACGGCUCAACCGUGGAACUGCCUUUGAAACUGUCAAACUGGAGUAUGUGAGAGGGCGGCGGAAUUCCUGGUGUAGGAGUGAAAUCCGUAGAUAUCAGGAGGAACAUCAGUGGCGAAGGCGGCCGCCUGGCACAAAACUGACGCUGAGGUGCGAAAGCGUGGGUAGCAAACAGGAUUAGAUACCCCAGUAU
rnacentral:rRNA from 1 species